UACGUAUGGAGCAAGCGUUAUCCGGAUUCAUUGGGCGUAAAGAGCGCGUAGGCGGAUAUCCAAGCGGAACCUCUAAUCUGAGGGCUCAACCCCCAGCCGGGUUCCGAACUGGAUGUCUCGAGUGCGGUAGAGGUAGAUGGAAUUCCCGGUGUAGCGGUGAAAUGCGCAGAUAUCGGGAGGAACACCGAUGGCGAAGGCAGUCUGCUGGGCCGUCACUGACGCUGAGGCGCGAAAGCGUGGGGAGC
rnacentral:rRNA from 1 species